AUAUGUACUAUCAAGGAUACCUCACAUAUGGAAAUCCUCACAUGUACUAUCAGGAAUAUCCCCCAGAGCAAGAUCCCUCCGAAUGAGUACCUAAGUAUGUAGGAUUCGACGUUACAAUGGGAGUCAUCAACAAUUUCCGGUCGGUCGUAAGGUUUUCCUAUGCGAAAACACCGAAAUAAAAAUUUUAGAGUAUAUUAUGUGUUAACUAUUUGAGACUUGUAUUAUUUGAACCUAUAUUUUAUUUGAACCUAUAAAUUGUGUUAACAAGUUGAACCUAUAUUUUAUUGCAUUUGGAUUGUGGUUUGUAUUGAUAUACAUAUGUUUUACGUCAAUUCUAUUAAUAUUUGCUUUGUAA